ACACCAGUUGAUCCUGCUGGAGGAUACUGCUAUCGGAUUACGACUAAGACAUGCAAGUUCAAAGACCAAAGCUUUUGGUCUUGGCGAACGGCUGAGUAACACGUAGUCAACCUACCCUAGGGAUUCGCAUAACUUCGGGAAACUGAAGCGAAUUCGUUAUAGGCAAGGAAUUCUGGAACGAAUCCUUGCUUAAAAGAGCACUUGAAAUGCAGAGUGUUUCGCCCUAGGAUGGGACUGCGUCUGAUUAGGCUGUUGGCGAGGUAACGGCUCACCAAACCAAUAAUCAGUAGGGGCUAUGAGAGUAGGAGCCCCCAGAAGGGCACUGAGACAAGGGCCCUAGCCCUAUGGGGUGCAGCAGUUACGAAAAUUCCGCAAUGCGCGCAAGCGUGACGGGGGUAGUCCGAGUGCCAUCCGAAAGGAUGGCUUUUGGCCAGUCUGAAUAACUGGCAGAAUAAGUGGUGGGUAAAACCUGUGCCAGCCGCCGCGGUAAUACAGGUAGCACGAGUGGUGUCCACGAAUAUUGAGUCUAAAGCGUCCGUAGCCGGUUUGGUAAAUUUUCUGUGAAAUCUCUCGGCUUAACCGAGAGGCUUGCAGGGAACACUGCUAGACUCGGGAGUGGGGGAGGCCUGAGGUACGCCAGGGGGAACGGUAAAAUGUUUUAAUCCUUGGCGGACCACCAGUGGCGAAAGCGUCAGGCCAAAACACGUUCGACGGUGAGGGACGAAGGCUAGGGGAGCAAACCGGAUUAGAUAUGCCUUUCGGAAAAAACGAGUUAAAAAUAAGCGCGCUGCUUCCAAAACAACGCGUCAAUUACGCCGAGCCCACAACGUUCGGCAAUUAUUUUUGGGUGAUAUUUGGAAAAUUAAUUCCGUUCCGUGUCAUCUAUAAUUAAAAUGAAUUUUUCAACCGCGUAUGGUUGAAAACUGUUCAAAAGCGGUUUUUUCGGGGAGGCACUAAACACCCGGGUAGUCCUAGCAGUAAAUGAUGCAAACUUGGCGUUGCACUUGCCUCGAGCGAGUGCAGUGCCGCAGCGAAGGCGUUUAGUUUGCCACUUGGGGAGUACGGUCGCAAGACUGAAACUUAAAGGAAUUGGCGGGGGAGCACCGCAACGGGUGGAGCGUGCGGUUUAAUUGGAUUCAACGCCGGAAAUCUCACCGGGGGCGACGGUUAUAUGAAGGCCAG
rnacentral:rRNA from 1 species